rnacentral:rRNA from 1 species
UACGUAGGAUCCAAGCGUUGUCCGGAUUUACUGGGUGUAAAGGGUGCGUAGGCGGCGCGGUAAGUCGGGUGUGAAAUCUUGGAGCUUAACUCCGAAACUGCAUUCGAUACUGCCGUGCUUGAGGACUGGAGAGGAGACUGGAAUUUACGGUGUAGCGGUGAAAUGCGUAGAUAUCGUAAGGAAGACCAGUGGCGAAGGCGGGUCUCUGGGCCGAAACUGACGCUGAGGAGCGAAAGCGUGGGGAGCAAACAGG